UACAGAGGGUGCGAGCGUUGUCCGGAAUCACUGGGCGUAAAGGGCGCGUAGGUGGCGACCCAAGUCGAUGGUGAAAGCUCGCCGCUCAACGGCGAGUCGGCCACCGAUACUGGGUUGCUCGAGCACUGUAGAGGCUAAUGGAAUUCCGGGUGUAGCGGUGGAAUGCGUAGAGAUCCGGAAGAACACCGGUGGCGAAGGCGGUUAGCUGGGCAGUUGCUGACGCUGAGGCGCGACAGCGUGGGGAGCAAACAGG
rnacentral:rRNA from 1 species